rnacentral:piRNA from 1 species
UGGAUUGGCAGGAUCAACAUUGUAAAAAUGG